GAUGAACGCUGGCGGCGUGCCUAAUACAUGCAAGUCGAGCGAACAGACGAGGAGCUUGCUCCUCUGACGUUAGCGGCGGACGGGUGAGUAACACGUGGAUAACCUACCUAUAAGACUGGGAUAACUUCGGGAAACCGGAGCUAAUACCGGAUAAUAUAUUGAACCGCAUGGUUCAAUAGUGAAAUACGGUUUUGCUGUCACUUAUAGAUUGAUCCGCGCCGCAUUAGCUAGUUGGUAAGGUAACGGCUUACCAAGGCGACGAUGGGUAACCGACCUGAGAGGGUGAUCGGCCACACGGGAACUGAGACACGGUACAGACUCCUACGGGAGGAAGCAGUAGGGAAUCUUACGCAAUGGGCGAAAGCCUGACGGAGCAACGCCGCGUGAGUGAUGAAGGUCUUCGGAUCGUAAAACUAUGUUAUUAGGGAAGAACAAAUGUGUAAGUAACUAUGCACGUCUUGACGGUACCUAAUCAGAAAGCCACGGCUAACUACGUG
rnacentral:rRNA from 1 species